rnacentral:rRNA from 1 species
UGGGGAAUAUUGCACAAUGGGGGAAACCCUGAUGCAGCGACGCCGCGUGGAGGAAGAAGGUCUUCGGAUUGUAAACUCCUGUUGUUGGGGAAGAUAAUGACGGUACCCAACAAGGAAGUGACGGCUAACUACGUGCCAGCAGCCGCGGUAAAACGUAGGUCACAAGCGUUGUCCGGAAUUACUGGGUGUAAAGGGAGCGCAGGCGGGAAGACAAGUUGGAAGUGAAAUCUAUGGGCUCAACCCAUAAACUGCUUUCAAAACUGUUUUUCUUGAGUAGUGCAGAGGUAGGCGGAAUUCCCGGUGUAGCGGUGGAAUGCGUAGAUAUCGGGAGGAACACCAGUGGCGAAGGCGGCCUACUGGGCACCAACUGACGCUGAGGCUCGAAAGUGUGGGUAGCAAACAGGAUUAGAUACCCUGGUAGUCCACACCGUAAACGAUGAUUACUAGGUGUUGGAGGAUUGACCCCUUCAGUGCCGCAGUUAACACAAUAAGUAAUCCACCUGGGGAGUACGACCGCAAGGUUGAAACUCAAAGGAAUUGACGGGGGCCCGCACAAGCAGUGGAGUAUGUGGUUUAAUUCGACGCAACGCGAAGAACCUUACCAAGUCUUGACAUCCCUUGACAGGCAUAGAAAUAUGUUUUCUCUUCGGAGCAAGGAGACAGGUGGUGCAUGGUUGUCGUCAGCUCGUGUCGUGAGAUGUUGGGUUAAGUCCCGCAACGAGCGCAACCCUUAUGGUCAGUUACUACGCAAGAGGACUCUGGCCAGACUGCCGUUGACAAAACGGAGGAAGGUGGGGAUGACGUCAAAUCAUCAUGCCCUUUAUGACUUGGGCUACACACGUACUACAAUGGCGUUAAACAAAGGGAGGCAGAACCGCGAGGUCGAGCAAAUCCCAAAAAUAACGUCUCAGUUCGGAUUGUAGUCUGCAACUCGACUACAUGAAGCUGGAAUCGCUAGUAAUCGCGAAUCAGAAUGUCGCGGUGAAUACGUUCCC